rnacentral:rRNA from 1 species
AUGACGACGGAGUCGGACUCCGACUCCGACGCGACCACCGCCGCCGCGCUGGGCCGAGGCUCCGGGAGCGAGACCUCCUCCUCGUCCGCCCCGUCGACGCCCGGGACGCCCACGGCGGCUCCGGCCUCUCCGGCCGUGGCAGGAUCGGGGCCGAGGCCGGCGCCAGGGUACACCGCGGUGAACGCGGUGAUCGACAAGAAGGAGGACGGCCCGGGGUGCCGCUGCGGCCACACGCUCACGGCAGUGCCGGCUGUCGGGGAGGAGGGCUCGCCCGGCUACGUCGGGCCGCGGCUCAUCCUCUUCGGCGGCGCAACCGCGCUAGAGGGCAACUCUGCAACGCCUCCCUCCUCAGCUGGCAGCGCUGGGAUCCGUCUUGCCGGUGCCACAGCAGAUGUCCACUGUUACGAUGUAUUAUCAAAUAAGUGGAGCAGGCUUACUCCACUUGGUGAGCCUCCUUCACCAAGAGCUGCACAUGUAGCAACCGCGGUUGGAACCAUGGUUGUCAUUCAGGGUGGAAUUGGCCCAGCUGGUUUAUCUGCGGAGGACCUUCAUGUUCUAGAUCUUACACAACAGAGACCACGAUGGCACAGAGUGGUGGUUCAAGGACCUGGUCCAGGUCCACGAUAUGGACAUGUGAUGGCCUUGGUUGGACAGAGGUUCUUGUUGACAAUAGGUGGAAAUGAUGGGAAGCGGCCUCUGGCGGAUGUAUGGGCUCUUGAUACGGCUGCUAAGCCAUAUGAAUGGAGGAAACUUGAACCAGAAGGUGAAGGACCACCACCAUGCAUGUAUGCCACUGCCAGUGCACGAUCUGAUGGUCUACUUUUACUCUGCGGUGGGAGGGAUGGUAAUAGUGUGCCACUAUCAAGUGCAUAUGGUCUCGCGAAACAUAGAGAUGGGCGCUGGGAGUGGGCAAUAGCCCCUGGUGUCUCUCCGUCACCAAGAUACCAACAUGCAGCUGUUUUCGUGAAUGCACGUCUUCAUGUGUCAGGAGGUGCUCUUGGAGGUGGUCGGAUGGUAGAGGACUCCUCAAGUGUUGCAGUGCUGGACACGGCUGCUGGAGUUUGGUGCGACACGAAGUCAGUUGUCACAACUCCCAGGACAGGAAGAUAUAGUGCGGAUGCAGCAGGAGGUGAUGCUGCUGUUGAACUUACGCGACGGUGUAGGCAUGCAGCAGCUGCUGUUGGCGACUUAAUAUUCCUUUAUGGAGGUUUACGGGGAGGUGUAUUGCUAGAUGAUCUUCUUGUGGCUGAAGAUCUUGCUGCCGCAGAAACGACAACUGCUGCUAAUCACGCAGCGGCAAGUUCAGCAGCUACUGACACACAAGCUGGAAAGGCACCUGGAAGAUAUGCUUACAAUGAUGAACGUACAAAACAGGCAGCUUCAGAAUCAGCUCCAGAUGGAUCUGUAGUUCUUGGAACACCAGUUGCUCCUCCUCUUAAUGGGGACAUAUAUACUGAUAUUAGCCCUGAGAAUGCCGUGCCGCAGGGACAGAGGAGAUCAAGUAAAGGUGUUGAUUACUUGGUCGAAGCAUCAGCAGCAGAGGCAGAGGCAAUUAGUGCUACUUUAGCUGCUGUAAAGGCUAGGCAGGUUAAUGGUGAGGCAGAAGAGUUGUCUGACAAGGAGCAGUCUCCAGAUUCUUCAUCAAGCAACAAACAUUCAAGCCUCAUUAAACCAGACACUGCACUUUCAAAUAACAUGACACCUCCACCUGGUGUUCGGUUGCACCACAGAGCUGUGGUAGUGGCUGCGGAAACUGGAGGUGCCUUAGGUGGCAUGGUCAGACAGCUUUCGAUUGACCAGUUUGAAAACGAAGGAAGAAGGGUCAGCUAUGGCACACCUGAGAAUGCAACUGCUGCAAGGAAGUUGCUUGACCGCCAGAUGUCCAUUAAUAGUAUUCCUAAAAAGGUGAUUGCAUCUCUGUUGAAACCUCGCGGCUGGAAGCCUCCCGUGCGAAGGCAGUUCUUCUUGGACUGCAAUGAGAUUGCAGAUCUGUGUGAUAGUGCUGAGAGAAUAUUUUCAAGUGAACCAAGUGUUUUGCAACUUAAAGCUCCCAUUAAAAUAUUUGGUGAUUUACAUGGUCAAUUUGGUGACCUUAUGCGAUUGUUUGAUGAGUAUGGUUCUCCUUCAACGGCUGGAGACAUCGCGUACAUUGAUUAUCUUUUCUUGGGUGAUUAUGUGGAUCGUGGGCAGCACAGUUUAGAAACUAUGUCCCUUCUUCUUGCUUUGAAGGUUGAAUAUCCGCAAAACGUACAUUUAAUUCGUGGAAAUCAUGAGGCCGCUGACAUUAACGCUUUAUUUGGCUUCCGAAUAGAGUGUAUAGAGCGAAUGGGCGAAAGAGAUGGCAUCUGGACAUGGCAUCGUAUGAAUAGGCUAUUUAACUGGCUUCCUUUGGCUGCACUCAUAGAAAAGAAAAUUAUCUGUAUGCAUGGUGGCAUCGGUCGCUCAAUCAACCAUGUAGAACAGAUCGAGAAUCUUCAGAGACCAAUUACCAUGGAAGCAGGCUCGGUUGUCCUCAUGGAUCUUCUAUGGUCUGAUCCAACAGAAAAUGACAGCGUUGAAGGAUUAAGACCAAAUGCUCGGGGGCCUGGUCUUGUUACAUUUGGGCCUGAUCGUGUAAUGGAGUUCUGUAACAACAACGACCUUCAAUUAAUUGUACGAGCACAUGAGUGCGUGAUGGAUGGCUUUGAGCGCUUUGCUCAAGGCCACCUGAUCACUCUUUUCUCAGCAACAAAUUAUUGCGGUACUGCAAACAAUGCUGGUGCAAUCUUAGUUUUGGGUAGAGAUCUUGUAGUUGUUCCAAAACUAAUUCAUCCUUUGCCUCCUGCAAUCACAUCACCUGAGACCUCACCAGAUCAGAUCGAAGAUACAUGGAUGCAGGAGCUGAAUGCAAAUAGGCCAGCAACUCCAACCAGGGGCCGUCCCCAAGCAGUGGCAAAUGAUCGAGGUGCUCUUGCCUGGAUAUAG